GUAGAGACGAACACUAAAACAGCGCGGAUACAGUUUACACUAUUAUUUGUGGCACCUCUGAUAAUACACAUUCUGGAUUGAACAACUCAAAAUGUGUAUUGGCCCACCUCAGCAUUCUGCAAUGAGGUGGCGACUUGUCCAGGGUGUACCCUACCUUCCGCCCGUGUGCAGCUGGAAUAGGCUCCAGCACCCCGCCCGCGACCCCGAAGGGACAAGCGGUAGAAAAAUGGAUGGAUGGACUGUAAACAUUCCUUAAGAGUUCUUCGUCUGCGCGUUAUGAGGAUGAUGAGGAGGACAAUGAACGCCAGGAGGAGGAAGGCGGUGAGAACGAAGCCGAGCGGCAUCAGGAAGUGAUGUCUCUGGUCGGGCAGGACCACGUUGAUGACCCGAGGAGGCUCCACUUUGUUCUCCUCAUCUG